rnacentral:rRNA from 1 species
GACAGAGGGGGCAAGCGUUGUCCGGAUUCAUUGGGCGUAAAGAGCGUGUAGGCGGCCAGGUAGGUCGGUUGUGAAAACUGGAGGCUCAACCUUCAGAGGUCGACCGAAACCAUCUGGCUAGAGUCCGGGAGAGGAGAGUGGAAUUCCUGGUGUAGCGGUGAAAUGCGCAGAUAUCAGGAAGAACACCAAUGGCGAAGGCAGCUCUCUGGGACGGUACUGACGCUGAGACGCGAAAGCGUGGGGAGCGAACAGG